rnacentral:rRNA from 1 species
CGGCGGACGGGUGAGUAAUACUUAGGAAUCUACCUAAUAGUGGGGGACAACAUCUCGAAAGGGAUGCUAAUACCGCAUACGCCCUACGGGGGAAAGCAGGGGACUCUUCGGAGCCUUGCGCUAAUAGAUGAGCCUAAGUCGGAUUAGCUAGUUGGUGGGGUAAAGGCCUACCAAGGCGACGAUCUGUACCGGCCUGAGAGGGCGGUCGGUCACACUGACACUGACAUACGGGUCAGACUCCUACGGGAGGCAGCAGUCGGGAAUUUUGGGCAAUGGGCGAAAGCCUGACCCAGCAACGCCGCGUGAAGGAUGAAGCUUUUCGGAGUGUAAACUUCAUAAGAAUGGGAAGAAUAAGUGCGGGAUAAUACCCUUCAUGAUGACGGUACCAUUUGUAAGCUCCGGCUAACUCCGUGCCAGCAGCCGCGGUAAUACGGGGGGAGCAAGCGUUGUUCGGAUUUACUGGGCGUAAAGGGCGCGUAGGCGGCGCGACAAGUCACUUGUGAAAUCUCUGGGCUCAACCCAGAACGGUCAAGUGAUAC